rnacentral:rRNA from 1 species
UACGAAGGGUGCAACCGUUGCUCGGAAUUAUUGGGCGUAAAGCGCACGUAGGCGGCUUAGCAAGUCGGACGUGAAAGCCCUCGGCUCAACCAAGGAAGUGCUUUCGAAACUGCUGAGCUUGAGUACUUAAGAGGAUCGCGGAAUUCCCGGUGUAGAGGUGAAAUUCGUAGAUAUCGGGAGGAACACCAGUGGCGAAGGCGGCGAUCUGGGAAGAUACUGACGCUGAGGUGCGAAAGCGUGGGGAGCAAACAGG